UAAAAUUUAAUUUUAAAAUUAUUGAGUAGUAAUAGUUAAGUUCUUGAAAUUUAAAAAAUUUGGCGGUAUUUUAGUCUAUUCAGAGGAACCUGUGAUUUAAUCGAUAAUCCACGUUGUAUCUUACUUAGUUUUGUUUUUCAGUUUGUAUAUCGCCGUUAUUUGAAAAUUUUAUAAGAAUAAUAAUUUUCAUAAUUUUUAAUUAGAUAGUAAAUCAGGUCAAGGUGCAGCUUAUGGCUAAGGAAUUUAUGGGUUACAAUAAAUUUUAUUUAAAUGGAUUAAAUUUUGUAAUAAUUUUAUGAAAGUGGAUUUGAUAGUAAAUAUUUAUAGAUUAUAAUAUUGAUUUUAGCUCUAAAAUAUGUACAUAUCGCCCGUCACUCUUAUUAAUAAUAUAAGAUAAGUCGUAACAUAGUAGAUGUACUGGAAAGUGUAUCUAGAAUGACAAUUUAAAGCUUAUUAGUAAAGCAUUUCAUUUACAUUGAAGAGAUUAUUGUGCGAUUCAAUAUAAAUUGAUAAUAUAGAAUUAUUAAUUUUUAUUUUUAAGAAAAAAAAAUUAUUAAAAAUAAUUAUAUAAAUUUUUUGUUUUAGUAUUAUUUUAAAAAUAAAUAAUUUUAAUUAUAGUGAAUUAGUAUUGUGAGAGAAUUU
rnacentral:rRNA from 1 species